UGCUUUUCGCACAAAGGGGUCC
rnacentral:piRNA from 1 species